rnacentral:rRNA from 1 species
UCGAACGAGUUGAGAGCUUGCUUCUUAAGUAGUGGCGAACGGGUGAGUAACGCGUGAGUACCUGCCCUAGAGUGGGGGACAACAGUUGGAAACGACUGCUAAUACCGCAUAAGACCGCAUGGCAAAAGAUUUAUCGCUUUAGGAUGGACUCGCGUCCAAUUAGCUAGUUGGUGAGGUAACGGCCCACCAAGGCGACGAUUGGUAGCCGGACUGAGAGGUUGAACGGCCACAUUGGGACUGAGACACGGCCCAGACUCCUACGGGAGGCAGCAGUGGGGGAUAUUGCACAAUGGGGGAAACCCUGAUGCAGCGACGCCGCGUGGAGGAAGAAGGUUUUCGGAUUGUAAACUCCUGUCGUUAGGGACGAUAAUGACGGUACCUAACAAGAAAGCACCGGCUAACUACGUGCCAGCAGCCGCGGUAAAACGUAGGGUGCAAGCGUUGUCCGGAAUUACUGGGUGUAAAGGGAGCGCAGGCGGGAAGACAAGUUGGAAGUGAAAACCAUGGGCUCAACCCAUGAAUUGCUUUCAAAACUGUUUUUCUUGAGUAGUGCAGAGGUAGAUGGAAUUCCCGGUGUAGCGGUGGAAUGCGUAGAUAUCGGGAGGAACACCAGUGGCGAAGGCGGUCUACUGGGCACCAACUGACGCUGAGGCUCGAAAGCAUGGGUAGCAAACAGGAUUAGAUACCCUGGUAGUCCAUGCCGUACACGAUGAUUACUAGGUG